GGGCCCGUAGCUCAGCAUGGUGGAGCGAUCGGCUGAUAACCGAUGCCAACGGCGGUAAAGGCCCCGGUCAAGCAAUUGCUUGGGGGAUGUUCAAAUCCCGGCGGGCCCA
rnacentral:tRNA from 1 species